AUGAACAGAGGGUGAAGAGAGCACAGAGAAUCAGCAUGAGGGAAGGCAGAGCAAGGAUUAUUUAAUCUGACACAAUGGAAGCUGAGAAGGGAUAUAUGAACACUGUCUGCAAAUAUAUCUGGGUGGAAAGGCACCACAUAGGAAUAAAAGAGCUGAUUUUGAGAACUCUGCAAGUGUUUCCCAGCCACAUCUGUAAUGUGCAGUGAAGCCUUGUAUGAAGAAACUUGCAGAAAGGCUGCCCUGAGAUGACAAUUCAGGGCCAGAAAUCUGAGAUAAUUGUAGGAUCCAGGACCCGCUGGGAUCAGGUCUUAUUUCAGUAGAAUGGUCUCCCACAGAUGUCACUGGAAUUACUUGGAUAUGCCUGAAAGCCAAACUUGGUCUUAAGUUCAUAAAAGUUAAUAGUAUCAGUAGAAUACUGUAAUUAGAAGAUCUCCUACACUUAGCAGGAACAGUAGGAUUUAAUAACUUAUGAUUUCAACUCUGAUAUAUGUUCAUGAGGUUAGAAUAAGCCUUUUUCUUUUCCAUACUAAAAGAACCUGCUCUGACUGGUUUUGCUCAAA